CUCAGGUAAGGCUCACAACCAUUCUGAGUUUCAUACUAUUGCUACCCCACUGUCAGAUGAUAAAACUGAGGCACAAAGAGGGACGUGACUUAACCGAGGCCACAUAGCCAGUAAGUAGCAGAGCAGUCUGGCUGGGAGCCCAUGCUGCUGACCAAUGCCCUUUCAGUGGUCUGGAAGACUCCCACAGGAAGUGCUCAGGACUGGGCAGAGAUGGACCAGGACGAUUUACAGAGUGGAAAUCUGCCUCAUUAGGGGCUGUAGUAGUUGAGACAAGCAGAUACUGCAACAUGUAAAUUUGACAUAUUCAAGGGAAUUUAAUAAAUGAGGUUUAUAAACUAUAUAAAUAUGUAAGAGGAUUUAAUGUGUUAGAUUUGUGUGCUUUUGUGAUUUUAAUAUGUAAUACUUAAGAAAAUUCUAUUCCAUUUAUAGUGUUUAAAUGGGAAGUUUAAUAUGUCAAAGUAAUAUGUUCACUGAGGAUUAAGCAAAGAACAAGAAAAGUGUUUUAUUUUAACAUAAAAUUGAUAGAUUUAUAAGUGAAUUUGAGAUUUGGGUUUCACUGCUUAGUAACUAGAAUUAAAUUUUACACUCCUAAUAAAUUAAAUAUCAAUUAAAACAAAAGCCACUUUAUGGGUUCCUUUCCAUGCACAAAACGUCUCUGCUGACAUUUAAAAUCUCAACCGACAAGUGACACAGUUAUAGCCCUAUUCUGCAGAGGAGGAAACUGAGGUGAAGAGAAAUGACUUCCCAAGAUGACAGAACUGGGAAGGAGUGGACCCUGCACUCCAGACCAGACUGCCUAAGCCAGCACAUGCAACCACUUUCCUACACCACCUCCAGUGUAUGAAGAUUCCAUUUCUACAGAAAACUAGGUCAGUCAUGAAUACACACCCUGGAGGAACAUACACCAAUGUAACAACACUGGUCUUUACUGGAGUGGGAAUUAUGGAAGCGUUAUUUUACUUCUGUAACUUUUAAGACUUGACUAAAAGGAGUUCUUUAUUCCUUCACCCCAUUUUUCAACUAAUCUCUUUGCUGAUAAUUUAAAAUUAAGAGAAUUCACCUCUUUACAGUUUACUUUCUUCUGUGUUGUCAAUCAGUAUUUCGUAGUCAUUUAUUACUAUCUACCUCAUGAGCUUUUUUUUUUUUUAACCAUUCCUGCUAAUGCUUCAAACACCCCCUCUGAUGGGCAUCAUUCCUGGCUGAAACCUUUUUCUUAUACCCCUGUCCCCAGAUACCUCAUAGAAUUAGUCACUCCUUCAGUUAGCCACUUUUGUACCUAGUAUGUGCUCUUAUUAUUAAAGGUAUAACACUGACUUAUAGUUGUCUUUCUAUUCAUCUAUCUUCCCUACUAGAGUAUCUAUAGUACAUAUGUGUUAUCCCAGGGUCCAGCACAAAAUUUGGUUGGUUAAACUGAACGUAUUUUGCAGUUAUGAAAGCUGAAGUAUGCUUUACUUAGGCAAUUAUAUAGCUCUUUUCUUUCUUUAAAAGGCUUACUCUCUUUUGGUCCUUUAACUCUUUCGUCUAGCAUUGGGGUAGAUGACACAAUCAAGGCUUAAGCUGAACUAAAAGUGGAGGAAUUCAGUUAAGAAGCUGUCACAAAACUAGAAAGAUUGAAUUAUCUGACAACACAAAUCAUCUGCAAAGAGGAGUUGAGAGCGGAGCUAUGUCACACAUUCACAUCUAGGAGGGAGAGAGAAUCCUGUCUUGCUUCCCCUGGGGGUGCUCCAUGUCCUAUAGCUCUCAGACUAGCCUGGCCGCCAAAUCUGGCGUGUACUUCUCAGCGUCCAGUUUUCCACUAGAAAGAAAAAGAAGAAAAAGGCACUUAAUCUCUUAAACCAGAAGAAUAUUUUUAGAUAGCUGGGGGCCAGAAACACUUCAGUUACUAAUUAAGACCCCAGUAUAUUUGCAUUUUAUCCUGGACUGCUUCGAUGGCGGAAAUCUCGGGGCAGGGUAGCAUUUUGGAGAGUGCACCCUGCAGAGCACCUAACCCCCACACCACUGCCCCUGUGCCCUCGCCUGCCGCCGGUAGGGGACCAGCCUGGCGGCGGAGGCGGUGACACCAGGGCUGGCCCCCACGCCUUGCUCCGCUCCAAGUCUGAGGCGUGGGCGGGAAAGUGAAAAUGAAAACAGAAGCUACCCUGAUUGCCGGCUCUCGGGCUGGCGACCCGCACUGGUCACUUACACUGUGGGGCAGGAUGGGCAGAACUGGAGACCUUCUUAAGAAUUUGCCUUCUCCUCGGGUACGGGGUCUCCGCCCUACCGCGCGCGGACUAGUGCAGCUCCGCCGCCCGCUCUGGGGAGGCCCUGCGGCCCCGCCCCGCCCGGUGAGGCUCCGACCCUCCCCCGCGCCGCGCGCUGCCUGAGCCCCCGCCCGCGCUCCGCUUCCGCCCCUGAGGCCACGCCCCCUGGGGACCCCGAGCCCCGGAGGCUCCACGAGGCCUGGCUAGCGCCGGGCGGAGCCUCGACAAAAGCAAUUCCUCUUCCUCCUCUUCCUCUGCUUCCUCCGGUCCCUCCGCCCUCGCGCUGUUGUGGGUCGUCAGAUCCCGAAGACUUGGCGGAGGCUGGGCCGAGGCGAACCCAGGCUGCUUUCCCAUUAGGGCCCUAUCCGGGUUUGGGAACCCGCGGCGGCGGGUGGCCUUGGGGUUGAAGCUCCUGCCAGGCGCAUCUCUGCCGUGAGAACCUAUUGGGGAGGGUGGAUCCUGAAGAUCUGUUUGGGCGUUUCUUCCUUCUGGCUCCACCCAAAUGGAAGUGGUAGGAAGUCCGCAGGAUGCCUGUUAAUUACAGUAGACACCUGACCUGAUACUUGCAGACCAAGUUCAGAGAGCAAUAUUUGGAGAAAUGUAGGCACGAAGCUGGAAAAUGCGUAUGGCUGUUUUCACUGUUCCCCUCGGCUAUCUGAAAGAUGUGGGGGUGAAAAUCUCCAGAAACAACGGCAAACAAACGCAUAACAUUGGAGGUUGGAUUGAUGGUUACCACAGGGGAAGCGGGGAGGAGGGAGGGCAAAAGGGGUGAUUAGGCUCACCUGUGAGGGGAUGGACUGUAAUUAGUUUUCGGGUGGUGAACAUGAUGUAAUCUACACAGAAUCGGAAAUAUAUUAUGAUGUACAUCCAAAAAUAAACAAAUAAAUGAAAAAAAAGAAAAAAAUCUCCGAGUAUAUAUCCAGACGUAAUCAAGGAUGACAUGAAGCCACUGCCGUAUGGGUUUCUCCAUGUCUGACGUCAGACUGUAUUCACAGGAAGUUGUUCAUUGGCUGGCAGAAGCCCUUGUGACCAAAGCGAAGCCACGUCAUUCAGCACAUACAGUUCGCCCACGUUCUCAGACGCUGAAGAACGUUGCCUUCACGCUUGUAGGGAGUGUAAAGGAAAAAAAACCCGCCACCAACCUGCUUCCAGUGCUUAGCAUCGUACUGGAACAAUUGCAGAAGCUACGCUUUAGCGUCUGUGAAUUUUUGCCUGACUUCAUAACUACUUAUUUCUAGUGGAACUUUGUCCUUCAGAAAUUAUUCAGCAGUAGAUGGUAGCAGAGUGAAUCUUCACAACUCUAUGAGAUUGUCAUUAUCCUCAUUUUACAGAGAGAAGAACUGAGGCUUUGAGAAGUUAAGGUAACUUACCCAAGGUCACAUAGCUAGUAAGUGACCAUUUAGUAUUGAACUCAGGUCACACAUCCCUCUAAGUUAAAAAUCAUGCAGAGUGCAGGUGCAUACAUUUUAUCUAAGUGUAUCAUGAUGUACAGUUAAAAUGGGUGCAUUUUAUGUAAGUUAUACCCCAGUAAAGUUAAUUUUAAAAAAUCAUGCAGAAUGAAUGUGAUGUUUUUUAUGAUAAAACUCAUCAAGGAAACAGCAUUAUGAUUUCACACAUGACAGUUUCUGAGGAAAAAGAGAUGGAGGUGAAAUAUAUGUACAUGUUAUUAACAUAACCACUGAAAGACUGGUGACACCACAGUCAAGGCUUGUUCAUUCAGGUCACUUUCCCAAACUUCAGAUACAGAUAUAAAGAAAUAUUAACCAGGAUGGGUUAGGGGCAUGCAAAUCUGUUGUGGAAAUCAACCAAAGGAACACAAAAUUAUAAAAGACAUCUGAAGUCUGUGAUAUCAAACAUAUCUAACAAAAAUAUGCGCAAGUACAGAGCAUUAAAAAGUUAGGUACUUUUGCUAGUGGUAUGCAUUAAAGUCACAUUUUCUGUGUGCAAUAUACUAUAUAUUAUACUAAGCAUUGUGAUUAUAAGCUGUGCAGCAGAAUUUACACAUUUUUAAUUUCUAUUAAAAUUUAUUUGAAUAGUUUGUCAAAACAAGCAAGGCACCAGUUGUUGGUGCUUUUGUGUUUGAAGGCUGUGUUUGGCUAUUUAAAAAGAAUACAUUGACUCCUUUUUCAUUUUAUUUUAUUUUAUUUAUUUUUUUUUAAAAGAUUUUAUUUUUUCCUUUUUCUCCCCAAAGCCCCCUGGUACAUAGUUGUAUAUUCUUCGUUGUGGGUCCUUCUAGUUGUGGCAUGUGGGACGCCACCUCAGCGUGGUUUGAUGAGCAGUGCCAUGUCCACGCCCAGGAUUCGACCCAACGAAACACUGGGCCGCCUGCAGGGGAGCGCAUGAACUUAACCACUCGGCCACGGGGCCAGCCCCUCCUUUUUCAUUUUAUGAUGUUCCAUUUUGAAGUUUCACCAGUUUCAGAAACAUUUUGAAUUUAAGGCUUUAAUUAAAAUUUAUGAAUCAAAUAUUUUGUGAAUUGGGUAUUCUGAACAAUCAUGGUUGCCUGUACGUGUGUAGAAACAGGAUGAAAAAGAGCCCAGUUCUUUCCACAAGUGGCAAAACUGACUUUCUUAGGAUGCUUAAACCGAUAGUUGUUGUACCCACCUAAUACAGGUACGUCUGUAUUGGUCAAUAUAGCAGCUCCAAAAAUGACAAACUCCAUGAGGCAUCAGAAUAGGAUAUGACCAAUGAGAUUUCACUGUUAGAAAUUCUGCACGACCUUAUGUUUUCCAAGAGAAUAUUUUCUUCAAUGGCAAUCAUGAAGACAGUGACAUACCUUGAGUGAAAAAGAAAAUGGUUGUGAGAGAAAGCUUGAGUCUUAGGGCAAUUUGAUGAGUAUACAUACAACCCUUCAUACUGACCCAGCGCUCCCCAUCAGCAGAGUUCUUUGCAAGGUUGAGGAUAACAACAGAAAACCACCGCUCUUAGUAAUGAGAUCUGACCAGCAUGGCUGGGGAACAGCACAGAGCCUGAGACCAGAUCUCUGUGUGAACACCUAAACUUCCUGCUGGUAGUUAUUCUCUUUACCAGUUUGCUUCUUUAACAUUUGUUUAAUAUUAGUGCAGCUUGCUUGGCAAUGAAAGCAGCUGUGUCUUCUCAGACAUGCAUAAGACUAUAAUUAACAGACUACUAAAAAUGUUUCCACUGCAACUAAUUUUUAGUAUGGCUUUUCUUAAUUUAUUCAUAGAAUAUAAUGAUUAAUUCCAGAAAUGUACAAUUUACUAGAAUCCGUUCUGAACAGGUGGAAGCAACUUUAAUACAUGGAUGUGUUAUCUAUGAUAAGUGCACAUUUUUUUUCCUGUCCAGUAGCAUAUCACCUUGAGUGUCUCUAUCUGCAUGUUAAAAAUUGAGAUGAAAUUUAAAAACUAUACUUCAAAUUCUUGAGAUUCUUUUUGGCAAAAUAUCUUAAGAACUUUAAAAAAGUUUAUGACCCUUGAUCCAGUAAUUGCCCUCCUAGUAAUCUAUCCAGAGAAAAUAGAAAUCAAAGCAAAGGUUUUUAUAUAAAAGAUGUCCACUGCACAGGGCUGGCCCAGUGGCAUAGUGAUUAAGUUCAUGCACUCUGCUUCAGCAGCCCAGGGUUUGUGGGUUCAGAUCCCAGGCACAGACCUACACACUGCUCCUCAAGCCAUGCUGAGGCAGCAUCCCAUAUAUAAAAUGGAGGAAGACUGACACAGAUGUUAGCUCAGGGCCAAUCUUCCUCACACACACACAAAAAGAUGUUUACUGCAGUGUCAUGUAUAAUGACAAAGACUGGAAAAUCCAGUCUAAGUCAACAAUAGUAAAAUCUUUAAAUAAAUUGAUAUAUUAAUUUAUGGUUAUGUUUAAAUAUGGUCAUUUAAAAUUUAUGGAAAUUUAACAAUGUGUUUCAAGUUCAUUUGAUCACAUAGUUGUGUCAUCGUAACUUUGUAAAAACAAAUGCAUAUGCAUAGAAAAAUGACUAGAAGCAACUACAUAAAAACGUUAACUGUAGUUAUUGCUGAGUAGUAGGAUUAUGGGCCACUUAAAUUUUCUUUGAACUUUUAAAUUUUUUAAAAUUCUCUAUAAUGAACAUUUUUUUAUAGUCAGGAAAAUAAUAAAUGCUACUUUUUAAAACAAAAACAAAAUUCUUGGAGGGUUUAAUAAACACUUGACUUCUUGAUUCAUAACUAGCAGAAUGAGAUAUUUAUGCUUAUGCAUGGCAAAUAGGCUAGAAAUAACCCCAAACAAUGACUACUUUAGAAAUCAACCAGUCUCACUCGGCCUUGUCCUUUCUUUCAUUCUUAUCCUCAACUAGUUGUUAAAAAUGUAUCUUAUGGUUGAAAGCCUAUUUCUACUAAAGUAAAAUAGUAUAAAAUGAAUUAAGUCUAAAAGCAUACACCUGCGUAAACCUAAAGAGGUAACGUAAUAAAAAAAGAUUAGUAACACAAGCCCCCAAACAAAUGUUAUGUAUAAUAACAUGUUUCAUUCUUUCCCAAAAGCCUAAGAGCCCCAGGCCCUGUGCUAGAUGCUGUAGAAGUACCAUAACUGAGGGUUUUUUCUACUAAAACAUUCAUGUACGUAUAUAUUUAAACAUGUCCUAGGAAAAGGUCCGGAAGCCUACACCUUGAUGUCAAGGUAUUAAGUUUCUAGGUUGGGAGAAUUAUAAAUGUUUUCAGGACAUUUUUGCUUGUCAAUAUUUUCGGAUUGUUCUGUAAUGUGCAAACAUAGCCUUUUGUAAAAAAAAAAAAAAUGUUUUAAUAUCAUUUUGACCAAAAAAGGCUACCCAGAGCUGUCAGAAUUAGUCUCUUUGAGACCUUUCUAAUUCGCAAUUAGGAAAACAAAUUACCAAUUACUCAUAGUACAAAGCUUUGACAGACUAAAUAAUAUAGCUUUAUAUUUGGUAUCUGCCUAAUACUUGGGAGGAAAAAAAUAAGUCACUUGAACUCAUCUAUGAAGCAAUUUAGGAAAUCCUCUUGGAAAACUCAGUUGUGGAACAGCAAUUUAAAUAGAUUAAAUAAACAUCUUCCAUUGGCAGUUAUGUCAAUGGAGUUGUACACUGAUGAAAGAUUUAAAACAAGACAGGUACUCCAAUAGGAAAUUUAAAAAACAAAUGAAAGAAAUGCAUAUGGAAACAGACCAGUUUCCUAAAAGAACAGCAUCAAGUUUUAAUAACUUGUCUUUAAAUAAAAACACCUGGGACAUUUUUGCACGUCAGAGGUUUUUGAGAUGGAACAUUACCAGUGGAUUGGUAACAUUUUACAGACUAUAUUAGCACAGUGUUUUACAUAAAGUGGAUGUUCAGUAUCUUCUUAUAAAAAUUUAUUUUGGUUCAAACUUACACAGUAGAAAAUGAUUCAUAAGUUUAAUUUACAAAGUGUUUGAUUAUUUGCUGGACAAAAUAUACGGUUCUAAAUUUUCACCCUAAAUUUGAGCAUCUGGAGGAAAAGGUUUCAAUUAAUUUAAGUACACAUCUAAUAAAAUGAAACAAAGCCAUCUGACUGAGGCAAUAUGAUGCACUAAAAAGCACUUUGAACACUGGAAUUUAUUUCCAACAUUGCAGCUAUCUUGUAACCUUGGGGUUCAUUUUCUUCUACUGUAAAAUAAAGUGAUUAAACAGGAUCAUGUCUCUCCAAGAUACUUUAGGUUUUAAAAGUCUGUGAUCUGAAAACAAACAUGGGAAGAUUCUAAAAGGUAGAGAGAAGGUAGACCAAGUAGGGAUCUCAAGACCCAAAGCACAAGACAGGAGUGAGUCCUCUGGGUUGUCUUUCUGCCUCAUAUAUCCUAGAUUUGGAGCUGAAGAACCUGGCAACUAGCACAAGUGAAGGAAAGCCCCAACAAAAGCCUACUCUCUUUAGCCAAGGACCUGGAAAAGGGCAGCCUAGUAAGACAGAAAACCUUUAGGCAAUAACUGCUAUACUCCAGCCAAACCUGAUGGAAAAGACUGUGGCCCCAACCCCACCCACAUCAAUAGAGGACAAGUCAAGAGCUCAGACUUAGCACUUUAGCUAGCCUCUAAUGAAGUGCCCCAACUCUCCUGCCACUGCCACCACCAUCAGCGUGGUGUCAGAGGAAGCCUAGUGGAGAGUCUGGACUUUCAUGACCGCCUGGUAGUAAUGAGGCCGGAGGUUACUCACCCCACCUCUGGUGUCAGUGAGGUCCACAUUGGGGGCAGUAUUAAGACACUUUUACCCCUCCUACCAGGGAAGUAUCAGUGGAGGCCUAGUGAAGACCUGGAACUCCCAUCACCACCUAUAAGUAAUGAAAAGCAGCCCCAACUCAAAUGCCAACAGAGGCUGAGUAGAGACUGAGAGAGUCCAGCAUCCUACUGGACUUCUACCCACGCUGGCAAUAAUGAGGUGGCCACUCCCUCACCCCCACUCUUCUGCUGGAGCAGUGUCAGAGGAAACCAGCUACAACAGAACGUUUAAAUAAGAUCCAUAUGGUCUCCUUAGAAGCACAAAAGUUUUUAAUUUUGAUGAAGUCCAAUUUACCUAUUUUUUCUUUUGCUGUUCCUGAUUUUGGUGUCACAUCUAAGAAGGCUUUGCCAAAUUCAAGAUCAUGAAGAUUUACUUCUAUGCUUUCUUAUAAGAGUUUUGUAGUUUUCAUUCUUACAUUUAGGUCUUUGAUCCAUUUUGAGCUAAUUUUUGUAUAUGGUGUAAGAUAAGGGUCCAAGUUCAUUCUUUUGCCUGUGGCUAUCCAGUUGUCCCAGCAUUCACUGAAAAGAAUAUUCUUCCCCAUUGAAUGGUCUUGGCACCCUUAUCAAAAAUCAAUUGACCGUAGAU
ensembl:lncRNA